GACAGAGGGUGCAAACGUUGUUCGGAAUUACUGGGCGUAAAGCGCGUGUAGGCGGCCCUGCAAGUCGGGUGUGAAAUCCCACGGCUCAACCGUGGAAGUGCACUCGAAACUGCAGGGCUAGAGUCCUGGAGAGGAAGGUGGAAUGCUUGGUGGUAGAGGUGAAAUUCGUAGAUAUCGAGAGGAACACCGGUGGCGAAGGCGGCCUUCUGGACAGUGACUGACGCUGAGA
rnacentral:rRNA from 1 species